GUUGCCAGCAGCCUCUCCUCUCCUCAUGCAUCUCGCAGGCUUUGUAAGGCGUGUGAGGGGAGGUGCUCCUUGCCAGGCUUAGAUUGGUCCCAAAGAGCUGCUCCGAUGGUGGCGGUGAGUAUUUUGCUGUCUUGCUGAUGCCCCAAUAAUCCACUGCCUGGGGCGACUGCCUCACCUUGCCUCAUGGAAGGAUAACCCCAACUUUCAUUUUUUAAAUGGGCGCAUCAGCCCACCACUGUACAUCUAUAUAUUUAAUUCUCCUGGGUGUGCCUUGGAAUGUGCGUCCUGGUGCCAAGCUGAUUGGCUGGGUGGCGGAGGCACCUGAUUGGCUGAGGCGCACCCAGGAGGAUUAGUCGCCGCGGCGGUUGCAGGCCCAGCCACAGAGGCCAGAGGUGGUGGCGGGUCCGGCCUGGCCGUGGAGGCAGGCAAGCGGUGGUGGUGGGCCAGCCCAGCCACAGAGGCAAGGCCCAGGAGGGGAGAAAGAAAGUGCAGGGGCAGAAGUGGCGAGGUAGAAAAGCCAAGUCUGCUUAGGAAGAUGUUUUGAGACCAGCUGCUUCACACCUGCAAACAACUGUAGAAGACCCUCUGUACUUGUCCCAACACUUUUAGACAUCUCACAAACGCCUGCAUCUUCAUUAAGGUCUUGCAAAUUGUUUCACAUUUAUAAUCUGCAUUGUAAUUGUUCUUGAUUCUAUUGCUGGUUUAAGACCGCAAUACAAAUUAUAUUAAUAAUAAACUCUCUUUAGGCUCAAA